GAUAUGGGUCCUAUCUUUGUAUUCAUUAUACUUUGAGAGGGAAUGAACAUAGAAUUUCUAAUUUCUAGACAUGGCUUUCUUACCCACAAGUUCUCAAUUAUUUGUAUAAGUGUAAUUACUGUAUUAGCUGGAAUAUUUAUUUUCACUUUUUUUUUUCUCCUUUGUAAUUCUUAGCUUGGUGUAAAAAUUGCCAAAGCAGUUGCCUGCCACAACUUUGUAAAAGCCAAAAAGGAGGUUGAAAAUUCACAGGCUGCCCGAAAAAAGAAGAAACUUGCAUGGGGGUUUGAAGCAAAGAAGAGAUGGGAAACCAAAAGCAACAUGGGAUACAUGUAACUUGCCAGAGUGCUUCAAGACAUUUGUAGACUCAAAUGCUCAAUUUACUGAGAAUGUUUUCCUGCCUAUGUUAAUAUGUCAGAAAAUUGAUAGCACUAAAACAAAAAUAAGCAUAAAAUUUGGGAUUUUGAUUAUCAGCUCUUUUCAGUCUUUCUUUAAGGACUUUGUCCUAUUGAAGUCAAUAAAAUGAAGCAUUCUGUUAUUUGUAUAAGAAAUGUAAGAAAAAAAUAUAGAAAGAAGAGGAUAGGAUUUUGUUUAUUUGUAUGGAUGGACCCUCGGUAUAAAAUCACUUUUGGUGCUUUCCAUUCAUUUGGUUUAGCACAGCCAGUGAGCUUCUCGUACUUUCUUUUUUUUUUUUUUUUUUUUUUUUUUGAGACAGAGCCUCGCUUGCUCUGUCACCCAGGCUAGAGUGCAGUAGCACGAUCUUGGCUCACUGCAACCACUGCU
rnacentral:sRNA from 1 species